rnacentral:rRNA from 1 species
AGCUCCAAUAGCGUAUAUUAAAGUUGCUGCGUUUAAAAAGCUCGUAGUUGGAUCUCAGUCUCGAUCGGUCGGUCCAUCCUCUGGGUGGUUACUGGCUCAAUCGGACGUUGUUGGCCACGUUUCCGAGCAUGCUCUUCAUUGAGUGCGUUCCGGAGAGUGGAGCGUUUACUUUGAAAAAAUUAGAGUGCUCAAAGCAGGCGUUGUGCCUGGAUAGUCGUGCAUGGAAUGAUGGAAUAGGGCCUCGGUUCUAUUUUGUUGGUUUCCGGAACUCGAGGUAAUGAUUAAUAGGGACGGACGGGGGCAUUUGUAUUGCGACGUUAGAGGUGAAAUUCUUAGAUCGUCGCAAGACAAACUACUGCGAAAGCAUUUGCCAAGAAUGUUUUCAUUAAUCAAGAACGAA